rnacentral:rRNA from 1 species
GAUGAACGCUAGCGGCAGGCCUAAUACAUGCAAGUCGAACGGUAACAUGAGUAGCGAUACUUGAUGACGAGUGGCGCACGGGUGCGUAACACGUAUGUAAUCUUCCCACAACUGGGGGAUAGCCCGGAGAAAUCCGGAUUAAUACCCCAUAACCCAGCGAGGUGGCAUCACCUUUCUGGUAAAUCUCCGGAGGUUGUGGAUGAACAUGCGUCCGAUUAGCUAGUUGGCGGGGUAACGGCCCACCAAGGCUACGAUCGGUAGGGGUACUGAGAGGUUAAACCCCCACACUGGAACUGAGACACGGACCAGACUCCUACGGGAGGCAGCAGUAAGGAAUAUUGGACAAUGGAGGCAACUCUGAUCCAGCCAUGCCGCGUGAAGGAUGAAGGCGCUAUGCGUUGUAAACUUCUUUUGAACGGGAAAAAACCCAUUUACGCGUAAAGGGUUGAUUGUACCGUUAGAAUAAGGGUCGGCUAACUUCGUGCCAGCCGCCGCCGUAAAAC